UUAAGUUAUUAAGGGCGCACGGUGGAUGCCUUGGCACUAGAAGCCGAUGAAGGACGUUACUAACGACGAUAUGCUUUGGGGAGCUGUAAGUAAGCUUUGAUCCAGAGAUUUCCGAAUGGGGAAACCCAGCAUGAGUUAUGUCAUGUUAUCGAUAUGUGAAUACAUAGCAUAUCAGAAGGCACACCCGGAGAACUGAAACAUCUUAGUACCCGGAGGAAGAGAAAGAAAAUUCGAUUCCCUUAGUAGCGGCGAGCGAAACGGGAAGAGCCCAAACCAACAAGCUUGCUUGUUGGGGUUGUAGGACACUCUAUACGGAGUUACAAAGGACGACAUUAGACGAAUCAUCUGGAAAGAUGAAUCAAAGAAGGUAAUAAUCCUGUAGUCGAAAAUGUUGUCUCUCUUGAGUGGAUCCUGAGUACGACGGAGCACGUGAAAUUCCGUCGGAAUCUGGGAGGACCAUCUCCUAAGGCUAAAUACUCUCUAGUGACCGAUAGUGAACCAGUACCGUGAGGGAAAGGUGAAAAGCACCCCGGAAGGGGAGUGAAAUAGAACCUGAAACCGUGUGCUUACAAGUAGUCAGAGCCCGUUAAUGGGUGAUGGCGUGCCUUUUGUAGAAUGAACCGGCGAGUUACGAUUUGAUGCAAGGUUAAGCAGUAAAUGUGGAGCCGUAGCGAAAGCGAGUCUGAAUAGGGCGUUUAGUAUUUGGUCGUAGACCCGAAACCAGGUGAUCUACCCUUGGUCAGGUUGAAGUUCAGGUAACACUGAAUGGAGGACCGAACCGACUUACGUUGAAAAGUGAGCGGAUGAACUGAGGGUAGCGGAGAAAUUCCAAUCGAACCUGGAGAUAGCUGGUUCUCUCCGAAAUAGCUUUAGGGCUAGCCUCAAGUGAUGAUUAUUGGAGGUAGAGCACUGUUUGGACGAGGGGCCCCUCUCGGGUUACCGAAUUCAGACAAACUCCGAAUGCCAAUUAAUUUAACUUGGGAGUCAGAACAUGGGUGAUAAGGUCCGUGUUCGAAAGGGAAACAGCCCAGACCACCAGCUAAGGUCCCAAAAUAUAUGUUAAGUGGAAAAGGAUGUGGCGUUGCCCAGACAACUAGGAUGUUGGCUUAGAAGCAGCCAUCAUUUAAAGAGUGCGUAAUAGCUCACUAGUCGAGUGACACUGCGCCGAAAAUGUACCGGGGCUAAACAUAUUACCGAAGCUGUGGAUUGUCCUUUGGACAAUGGUAGGAGAGCGUUCUAAGGGCGUUGAAGCAUGAUCGUAAGGACAUGUGGAGCGCUUAGAAGUGAGAAUGCCGGUGUGAGUAGCGAAAGACGGGUGAGAAUCCCGUCCACCGAUUGACUAAGGUUUCCAGAGGAAGGCUCGUCCGCUCUGGGUUAGUCGGGUCCUAAGCUGAGGCCGACAGGCGUAGGCGAUGGAUAACAGGUUGAUAUUCCUGUACCACCUAUAAUCGUUUUAAUCGAUGGGGGGACGCAGUAGGAUAGGCGAAGCGUGCGAUUGGAUUGCACGUCUAAGCAGUAAGGCUGAGUAUUAGGCAAAUCCGGUACUCAUUAAGGCUGAGCUGUGAUGGGGAGAAGACAUUGUGUCUUCGAGUCGUUGAUUUCACACUGCCGAGAAAAGCCUCUAGAUAGAAAAUAGGUGCCCGUACCGCAAACCGACACAGGUAGUCAAGAUGAGAAUUCUAAGGUGAGCGAGCGAACUCUCGUUAAGGAACUCGGCAAAAUGACCCCGUAACUUCGGGAGAAGGGGUGCUCUUUAGGGUUAACGCCCAGAAGAGCCGCAGUGAAUAGGCCCAAGCGACUGUUUAUCAAAAACACAGGUCUCUGCUAAACCGUAAGGUGAUGUAUAGGGGCUGACGCCUGCCCGGUGCUGGAAGGUUAAGAGGAGUGGUUAGCUUCUGCGAAGCUACGAAUCGAAGCCCCAGUAAACGGCGGCCGUAACUAUAACGGUCCUAAGGUAGCGAAAUUCCUUGUCGGGUAAGUUCCGACCCGCACGAAAGGCGUAACGAUUUGGGCACUGUCUCAACGAGAGACUCGGUGAAAUCAUAGUACCUGUGAAGAUGCAGGUUACCCGCGACAGGACGGAAAGACCCCGUGGAGCUUUACUGUAGCCUGAUAUUGAAAUUCGGCACAGCUUGUACAGGAUAGGUAGGAGCCUUUGAAACGUGAGCGCUAGCUUACGUGGAGGCGCUGGUGGGAUACUACCCUAGCUGUGUUGGCUUUCUAACCCGCACCACUUAUCGUGGUGGGAGACAGUGUCAGGCGGGCAGUUUGACUGGGGCGGUCGCCUCCUAAAAGGUAACGGAGGCGCUCAAAGGUUCCCUCAGAAUGGUUGGAAAUCAUUCAUAGAGUGUAAAGGCAUAAGGGAGCUUGACUGCGAGACCUACAAGUCGAGCAGGGUCGAAAGACGGACUUAGUGAUCCGGUGGUUCCGCAUGGAAGGGCCAUCGCUCAACGGAUAAAAGCUACCCCGGGGAUAACAGGCUUAUCUCCCCCAAGAGUUCACAUCGACGGGGAGGUUUGGCACCUCGAUGUCGGCUCAUCGCAUCCUGGGGCUGUAGUCGGUCCCAAGGGUUGGGCUGUUCGCCCAUUAAAGCGGUACGCGAGCUGGGUUCAGAACGUCGUGAGACAGUUCGGUCCCUAUCCGUCGUGGGCGUAGGAAAUUUGAGAGGAGCUGUCCUUAGUACGAGAGGACCGGGAUGGACAUACCUCUGGUGUACCAGUUGUCGUGCCAACGGCAUAGCUGGGUAGCUAUGUGUGGACGGGAUAAGUGCUGAAAGCAUCUAAGCAUGAAGCCCCCCUCAAGAUGAGAUUUCCCAACUUCGGUUAUAAGAUCCCUCAAAGAUGAUGAGGUUAAUAGGUUCGAGGUGGAAGCAUGGUGACAUGUGGAG
rnacentral:rRNA from 1 species